CCACUUCGGUGGGGAUUAGUGGCGAACGGGUGAGUAACACGUGGGCAAUCUGCCCUGCACUCUGGGACAAGCCCUGGAAACGGGGUCUAAUACCGGAUACUGACCUUCACAGGCAUCUGUGAUGGUCGAAAGCUCCGGCGGUGCAGGAUGAGCCCGCGGCCUAUCAGCUUGUUGGUGAGGUAGUGGCUCACCAAGGCGACGACGGGUAGCCGGCCUGAGAGGGCGACCGGCCACACUGGGACUGAGACACGGCCCAGACUCCUACGGGAGGCAGCAGUGGGGAAUAUUGCACAAUGGGCGAAAGCCUGAUGCAGCGACGCCGCGUGAGGGAUGACGGCCUUCGGGUUGUAAACCUCUUUCAGCAGGGAAGAAGCGAAAGUGACGGUACCUGCAGAAGAAGCGCCGGCUAACUACGUGCCAGCAGCCGCGGUAAUACGUAGGGCGCGAGCGUUGUCCGGAAUUAUUGGGCGUAAAGAGCUCGUAGGCGGCUUGUCACGUCGGUUGUGAAAGCCCGGGGCUUAACCCCGGGUCUGCAGUCGAUACGGGCAGGCUAGAGUUCGGUAGGGGAGAUCGGAAUUCCUGGUGUAGCGGUGAAAUGCGCAGAUAUCAGGAGGAACACCGGUGGCGAAGGCGGAUCUCUGGGCCGAUACUGACGCUGAGGAGCGAAAGCGUGGGGAGCGAACAGGAUUAGAUACCCUGGUAGUCCACGCCGUAAACGGUGGGCACUAGGUGUGGGCAACAU
rnacentral:rRNA from 1 species